rnacentral:lncRNA from 1 species
CUCAGCAUAAUUCUGCAUAUGGUUUUGGUACUGAUAGAAAUCUUCCUCAACCUAAUCAAGGAGAGAAUCCACGGAGUUUAUUCCACCGGGAAGCCUUUCCUGGAACUUCAUUUGCUCCAUCAUCACAAUUAUCCAGAACAAAUUCCAACUUAAUUGCUCAAGAAUGCAAAGAAGGCAAUCUUUACGACUAUUCAGAUCUUAACUGGAAUGGCUCUCCAGGACCAAGUAAUCCUGCAGUAAACUACGAAAACAAUCGUUCACCAUCCAUGUACAUGAAGCCAAGCUUUGAUUUUUCCACAACUGGGGUCCCAAGAGCAGCGUAUCCUCCAAAAGAAACUAAAUAUUCAAUUUAUGAAGGAUCAGAAACUCCUUACAAAAUUGGUCGUGCAAACAUGAGAUCCAACUACUAAUUUCCUCACGGAAAAAAAUAAAUGUGUGUAAGCCUACAUACACCAAUCAUGUUAUAUACCAAAAAACUACAAAUAUGAUUUCCAUGGUCCAAUACUUUGUUUUUCUUAUAAUUAUGAUAAUUGUUUUCUUUAGGUUUUGGAUUUUUUUCUUUGCUAGCCCCUCUUGAUGACUGUAAUGCAAAACUUUUAUUUCUUCUAUCCAAUUCCAUUAACUCAUCAGAUGAAGAUAUUCAUUAUCUCCAAAAUUUGACACAAUAUCUGUGUAUUUAUUGAUUGGAUUCUUUAGUAUGUUUAGUGAAAUGAAAUAAAAAAUAAGUUUCAAAC